rnacentral:lncRNA from 1 species
CAUUUUCGUCUCUCACUCCCAAAUAAACGAAACUCUAGCCGCGCUCUCACCCCACGCCGUCUCCGUCGUGGUCCGCCAACCGGAAAUCGCCUCACGGCGGCGGACCACCUCCAAACUAUACCAAAUCAACACCAGACAAUCACCCUCUCCUCCUCUUUCAAUAUCUCAUGACCAUUCCUUUCAAACAAAUCCAGAACCCCUCGAAUCUUAGAUCUAAGAUCCACAAAACCCUAAUCUUUUCCCCUUUUGAUUUUUCGAUCAGCUUCUGGGUUAUUUGAACCUAAGACUUCCAUUAAUGAACUAUUCUUACUAAGAACAUAUGAUUAAUGGUCGUCCAAGUCCACUUUUACCCCGAUAAAUUUGGUCAUAUUCAUAGUUGGUCCAGUCCAAAACGAGCCCUAGGUAAUUUCUUUUUCAUUUUUUCUUUUAUGCUAUCUUCUGUCGUCAUGCAUGUUCAUUUCUUCUCUUUCUUUUAGUCUGCAUGAUUUAGGUAAUGACGGUGCAUUCCCUUUUGUUUAGUAUUGUCUAUUCGUUCCAUUAGUUGAUGUUAAUUGAAGCAUGCUGAAUGUUAUGACUAUUUGGAAGCUUAAUCUCGAUUGCAUCAAAUUUAGAUUAAUUAGGGUUAAUUUUUAGAUUUUUUAUAAACUUCAUGACUGUUCUUUUCUUCUCCAAGUUUCUGGUUGUUUCUCUCUUGUGUUUAUGUGUUUACGUUUAAUGUUUGUUUUAAGUUGAUUAGAAUGGUUUUACUCAAGUCCCAAAUGUUAGUUAACAAUCUACUGGACCUGUUUCUGAUUAGCUUUAGAAACCUUAGCCUUAGUUGAUUAAUCUGUUUAAUUGAAACUAAUUAAGUUGAUUUUUAUAUUUUCUUUGCAUAAGCAUUCUAGUUUUUCUUUAGUUGUUGUUUGGUUACAAGUUUAAAUGCAAUAUUUGUUUAGGGAUAUUUAGAUAAAACUUGUCAAUUAGGUUUAAACCUUAGAAUUGAAACCUAGACUUUAGGCUAAGUUCAGAAAUAAGGGGUAAAUACCCAAAGGCUACAAAUUGAAGCAACUUUAAGAAACCCUAAUCAUCUAGCUGGUUCUAGAAAGUCCUAAAGGAAUUUCUAGAAUUAGAAUAGGAUCAAAAUUGGUUAGAACUUAGAUAAUCAGUAAUUAAAGUGUUAAAAUUAGGUUUUACAUUAGGUAAAAAUCAGAAGGUUCUAGAUUUUGCACAGUUGUCCCCAUUCUUAGCAUCAAAAUGCUGGAAUUGGGCUGAAAAAAGGUCAGACAACUGUCAAAAGAGGCUUUACUAUCUGACCCUUAGGGGAUUUAUGGUACAAUAUGCCAUUUAGAUGCUAUUUCGGGCAUACCCUAUAAAAGGAAAAGUUAUUCCUUCAUUCUGGAUAGACAUUCAUCAGCAUAUCUGCACCUAAAAACUUUCAGAAUACAAGGAAAAAAUCCUUGAAACCUUUUUCUGGAAAAAACUUUAGUUUUCUAGUUUAGAUUUCUAGGUUAGUUUUCUGGUACUCUGAUUUUCUGGGAAGUUUGAAGUACUAGUUAUUGGUUUUCUGGGCUGCCUUUCUACUGUUGUUGUGUGUUCUUGGUUACUGUUUAAUCCCUGAAGUUUCAGCUAGCAUUCUCACUUGUUCUUUUGUAGAUUUUUACCUAUCAAGGUACUGAUUCCACUUUUUUCUCGAAUGUACUGCCUAUUUGGAAUGUUAUGAUAUCAAAUAGUUGCAACUAUGUUUGUUAAAUAUGUAUCAUUUCAUGGCAGUUACUGAUUAUAUUGUUAUGGAUCUAAUUAAAUCUUCUGUUAUGUGAGUUUAAGGUUGAAAUGAUUUAGUUGGUAAGUAUAUUAAUACUUGUAGCUCGUCUCUUAAAAAAUGGGAAGUACUGAUUUCAAUGGUUUUGUUUGAAGUUAUUUCUUCCAGUUAAAAUUUUAUAGCAUCAUAACUGAUUUACAUAUAUAGCUGCUAUAGUUUUUCUCUUCUUCUUAUGCUUGUGAUGAAUGACAUAGUGUUUUGCUUGAGGUUAUGGGCUAUAACUUGUGGAAUUGGUCAUUAGUUGGCUGAAUCAUCAAGUUUUAAAGCUAAAGGCUGGAGUUUGGCUAUUGUUAUCUUGCUGAAAUUGGUGGCUCCAGGGGUGAAUUAGGCUUUGGUUGGAUCAGUGAUAUCCAAACGGGGCAAAAGUUCACUAGGUUGUCGACUUUCUCAAACAUUGUAAUAGAUUAGUUGUUGUAGUAAUUCAUGUAUUAGGUAUUCCAAUGUAAAUUUUUUUUCGGAUUGUCCAAUUGCCUUUACAUUAUUUGUUAUAGCAAUGCUUUCUUUAUUAGUAUAAUUUGUAAUGUCAUAAGCCAGUGGUUAAAAUUAUAUUUUUGCUCCUGUAAUUCAGGUUGGGCCAGACACGCAAAUGAGCCCAAUUGGGAAAAACAUUCUCAAAUGAUUCUGGGCCUGGGCAUUAAACCCAAUAGUUUGACCCCAAUUAUAAGCUUCCCUUGUGAACUAUAGUAUAAACGCA